UACAGAGGUCCCAAGCGUUGUUCGGAUUCACUGGGCGUAAAGGGUGCGUAGGCGGUCGGGUAAGUCUGACGUGAAAUCUCCGGGCCUAACCCGGAAACUGCGUCGGAUACUAUCCGGCUAGAGGAUUGGAAGGGAGACUGGAAUACUUGGUGUAGCAGUGAAAUGCGUAGAUAUCAAGUGGAACACCAGUGGCGAAGGCGAGUCUCUGGACAAUUCCUGACGCUGAGGCGCGAAAGCUAGGGGAGCAAACAGG
rnacentral:rRNA from 1 species